rnacentral:rRNA from 1 species
UUCAGUUCCAAAACGAUAACGGAGGUGUCCAAAGGUCAGCUCAGAGUGGACAGAAACCACCCGUUGAGCAUAAGGACAAAAGCUGGUUUGAUCCUAACGUUCAGUACACGCCGGGACAGCGAAAGCUUGGCCUUACGAUCCUUUUGGUAUAACGAGUUUUUAGCAAGAG